rnacentral:rRNA from 1 species
GAUGAACGCUGGCGGCGUGCCUAAUACAUGCAAGUCGAGCGAACAGACGAGGAGCUUGCUCCUUCGACGUUAGCGGCGGACGGGUGAGUAACACGUAGGUAACCUACCAAUAAGACUGGGAUAACUUCGGGAAACCGGAGCUAAUACCGGAUAAUAUUUCGAACCGCAUGGUUCGAUAGUGAAAGAUGGCUUUGCUAUCACUUAUAGAUGGACCUGCGCCGUAUUAGCUAGUUGGUAAGGUAACGGCUUACCAAGGCAACGAUACGUAGCCGACCUGAGAGGGUGAUCGGCCACACUGGAACUGAGACACGGUCCAGACUCCUACAGGAGGCAGCAGUAGGGAAUCUUCCACAAUGGGCGAAAGCCUGACGGAGCAACGCCGCGUGAGUGAUGAAGGUCUUCGGAUCGUAAAACUCUGUUAUUAGGGAAGAACAAACGUGUAAGUAACUGUGCACGUCUUGACGGUACCUAAUCAGAAAGCCACGGCUAACUACGUG